UUAAGAUGUUUAGAAUGGACUGAGGGGAAAAAUUGUUAGCUUUUAUUGGGAUGUGUGCCUUGUAGGUGUCCCACGGGAUCACCAAUUAUUCUGCACCCUUCGGGAGCAUUAGACUGAUAGGUGUUUCUGCAGAACACUAGACUGAAAUGUACGUCCCUCGGGGCGUUAGACUGAAAUGUGCAUCCUACGGGAUCACAAGACUGCGACUGUACAGGGUGUCCCAAUAGAAUGUUAACAAUUUAUUUUCCCCUGACGGGACCAGUAGAGGGUCUCUUACUGGGUAUUUUUAUACUCACCCUCCUUAUGUUUAAUUUUUCAGGCAAAGGUAAUAAAGGCGGUAAACCGGCGAGGGGCAGGAAGGAAGCGUGAUUGCCAUAGGGGAUAUUUUAAUUUGCUUCCGCUUAAUGUUUUGUUUCUCGUGUUUUGUUUUAGUACUUGAGAUUGUUUAGAAAAUUUUAUAGUUGAACUGCAUUCAUGAAUUGGUAAACCUUUCUUGAAAGUGUUGGUUAUUUUAAAUAGGGCCCAUAUAUAAAUUUUUGCUUUCUUUGAGACUUUGAAAUUAUUUGAAAUUGAGAUUUUGUGUAAACUCAGGUCUUUGUUUGAAAUUAAUGACUUCGACUUACUUAGAAAAGUUGGGUCGUUACAAAUGUAUAUUAUGCCAGACUGAUAUAGAAGUAGAUACGAUGGAUAAUGUAUUUGUAAACUGAGAAAGGUGUUAUGUAUAUAUAUAUAUAUCUUGACUGUCUGGUGUGUUGUUAUAGUAUCAACUGAUUUUGUGAUAGAUUGAAUAGAUUGAACGUAAGUGUGUUAAGUUGGAUUGAUGAUAUGAUGGAGUAGUUUGACUAUACUAGGAAUGGAUUGAUUAAAUGUUUAUGACAGACUAAGGGAAAAUUGUUAGCUUUGUCGAUUGGGUAGUGUGCCUUGCAGGUGUCCUAUGGGAUCACCACCUGUUGUGCAUUCUUCGAGAGCACUAGAAUGACAUGUGCAUUCUUCGAGAGCAAUAGACUGACAUGUGCAUUCUUCGAGAGCACUAGACUGAUAUGUGCUUUCUGCAGAGCACUAGACUAAUAUUUGUGUCCUUUAGGGCAUUGGACUGAUUAUGUGUAUUCCUACAUGAUCACAAGACUUUUAAAGUGCAGGGCACCUCCAAUAGGAAGUUAACAAUUUUAUUUUUCUUCUAACAGGAUCAGUAGUACUGGGUAUGUUUAUACUCACCCUUUUAUGUUUAAUCUUUUUCCGUGAAACUGCCAUAGGGAAAUGUCCUUCAAAUUGCUUCAACUUUAUAUUUUUUUUUAUUUUGGUUUUCUUUAGUAAUUGAGACUGUUUUGGGUUUCAUGAUUGAACGACUUUUAUGUUCUUGAACAUUCUUUAUUAUCGAUACUUUUACACUUUCAAAAUUUUAUUUGAAAUAGAGCCCGAAUAAAAACUCUUUAAUGUUGUUAAAAAAUAUAUUUUUUUAAAUUAUAAAGUCUUAUGGUUAAAGGACGAAUCUAGUCUUAAAGUAAUAACUUCAGCUUAAUUCGAAAAAUUAGGUCGUUACAAUCUAUUUUGCAGAAAAGAAAAUCAUCGAUUUUAUUUUCGUUAAGAAAAGUUGUUUUUCUUCUACAUAUUUAUAACUCUUUUUCUUUCAUUGAGUAGGAGACGGGGUAGGAGAAAAUCAUAGGAUUCUAUUAAAUUGAUGUGUGAAUUGAUGUGGAUUGCCGAAAGUAUACAUGUGAAUGACUGAAAUUAUGCUUAUGUGUACAUGAUGAUAUUAAUAGAUUGUGCUGUAUAAAGAUUUGGAUGUGAACUAGUGAAUUUGAUUCGGUUGGAUGUGGAUUAUACUGAACUGUGGUUUGCGCUGGUAAAAAUGAGGGGUGUUGUGACUUUGUGGUUUACUUGACGAAUGUAUUAAAAUGUUAUCAACGACCUUCGAACAUAAGUGAGAUAGGUUGACUGUUAGAAUGUUGAGUGAAAGAACUUUAUAUUUUGAAGUAACUGAAAGAUGUCAUAAAUUACCGUAAAUAUGGUUAGAAUGGAUUGAGGGGAAAAAUUGUUAGUUUUACUAGGAUGUAUGCCUUGUAGGUGUCCUACGGGAUCACCAAUUUUUAUGCGACCUUCGGAGAAUUAGACUGAUAUGUGUUUCUGCAGAACACUAGACUGAAAUGUACGUCCCUCGGGGCGUUAGACUGAAAUGUGCAUCCUAUGGGAUCACAAGACUGCGACUGUAUAGGGUGUCCCAAUAGAAUGUUAACAAUUUAUUUUCCCCUGACGGGAGGGGGACCAGUCGAGGGUCUCUUACUGGAUAUUUUUAUACUCACCCUCCUUAUGUUUAAUUUUUCAGGCAAAGGUAAUAAAGGCGGCAA
rnacentral:lncRNA from 1 species